UGCGCCGUAAGCAUAUUUGAGAUAAGUGUCAUAUUACGAAUUUAUUUAUCAAGAGGAAGCCAAUUUUUGGAUCCCGUGACGAUUACAGUCUCAUCGUAAUUGCAACACUUAUAACUACCGAUUAUAUGGAGUGCAAUACGCUUCCUGAUCCCUUUGACGCGGACGGUUUUGGGUUUGCUCUCAUGUUUCUGUGAUUGACAGACUUUAUUUUCAAUAUAAUGGUGCAAUUUACGUAAAAGCGAACACGUGGAUGAUAAGUAGGAAGGAUAUGAUUCAUAGACCUCGUGUAAAUUGUCUGAAACGUGAGAGCAUUUGAUUCUUAAGAGAAGGAGUCAAGAUCGACGCUCAUUUAUUUUAUUCCUUUGGUUCGGAGUUCCUCCGAAUUUAUUAACUGUCGGAAUCUAAGCUAAGUGUCAGAAGGAGAAUCGAGUUUCAAAAUAACACGUAGUUGGUUAAACAAUCCUGAUAAAAGGGUGUCGGACGACCAGUACCGAUGCUCUUUUGUUUUCCGUCCCGGGCCGCAGUUCCUCGGGGUUUAUUGAUCCCAGUUGUAAACACACCAUGGCAGGAGUCGGAGGGGAAGGACCGCUCCUCCUCGCCCUUUCCUCCUCGUUCCUUCUCCCGGGUGUGAAUGGCAAGCCCUCGACGGGGACGGAUCUCGAAAUAGACGAGAAGUACCAGAACACGCAUAGGAUUGACAGCUUGAAUAUCCUCCUAUACACCUUUUUACUGAUCCUAACUGUGGUGACGAUAUGGAUCUUCAAAUACCGAAGGGCAAGGUAUUUGCACGAGACCGGCCUGGCUGUCAUUUACGGUUUGAUAGUCGGAGCCAUCCUGAGGUACAGCGGGGACAACACCCCCGUCAGCCACAUGGUGGUUGACCCCAAGGAGCCACAGACCUACCACGGGGAUGCCCCUCCAGACACCCUCUGGUUGAAGUAUGGAGGUAAUAUAAAUGCUAGCCAGAACAGAACAUACGCAUACUCUUUCAGGGGAGAGAUUCCUGAAAGCUUAGAAGAUGAGAUUGUUCAGAAGGCAACUUUUGAUCCUGAAAUCUUCUUUAACAUCUUGCUGCCUCCCAUUAUCUUCAGUGCUGGCUACAGUCUCAAGAGGAGACAUUUCUUCAAGAACCUGGGUGCCAUUUUCACAUUUGCCUUUCUGGGGACAACCAUAUCAACUUUUGUAGUUGGCGGCUUAGUGUAUGGCUUCUUAUGGCUGUUGAGCUCAAGCUUCUCAUUCAUCGACUGCCUUUUAUUCGGCGCUCUCAUCUCCGCCACCGACCCAGUCACCGUGCUGGCCAUCUUCUCCGACCUCCACGUGGACGUCAAUCUGUAUGCCCUGGUGUUUGGAGAGUCGGUUCUCAACGAUGCAGUCGCCAUUGUCUUGUCUAGUGCCAUCGAAAGUUAUGGCAGUGCCAGUGGAGGCUUUGAGACGUCAGCCUUCUUCCUGGCCAUCCUCAAUUUCCUGUGGAUCUUCAGCAUGUCAUUCCUCAUCGGCUCAGUCAUGGGCUGCCUCACCGCCAUCCUCACCAAGUUCACGCGUCUUAAGGACUUCCCGCUGCUGGAGACGGCGCUCUUCGUCCUUAUGUCAUACUCUACCUUCCUCAUGGCAGAGGCAGCGGACUUGACAGGUAUUGUGGCGGUGCUCUUCUGUGGAAUCUGCCAAGCCCACUACACCUACAACAACCUGUCUGCGGAGAGUCGCGUUGCUACCAAGACACUGUUCGAACUCCUCAAUUUCCUCUCAGAAAACUUUAUCUUCUCAUACAUUGGGGUUUCUAUGUUCACCUUCGACCACCACAAGUGGGAUGUGGGAUUCAUCUCCAUCGCCUUCGUAGCCAUUAUCGCUGGGCGCUUCAUGUGCGUCUACCCUCUUUCCUUCCUGCUGAACCUUGGCCGGACUCCGAAGAUCCCCAUCAACUUCAUGAACAUGUUGUUCUUCUCGGGUCUCAGAGGAGCCAUAGCCUUUGCACUUGCCAUUCGCAACACCAGCAGCAGUGCACGGAAGGCCAUCCUAACCACGACGUCGCUGAUAGUCAUAAUAACUGUCAUAUUAUGCGGCGGCCUCACCACCCAGGUUCUGUCAUGGCUUGGGAUACCGGUUGAUGUGGAGGAUGAUGAGACCCACCACCUAAACACCUCGUUCCAGCCAAUCAGAAAUGAUUACAAAAGCAUUGACGAAGGCAGGGGGCCAGGGGCAGAGGAUGGGGGAGAAGGCCCUCCCGAGGGGAUCAGCAGCAACUCAAGCAAGUACGAGAAGGCCUGGCUGUUCCGCAUCUGGUCGCAGUUUGACGUGAAGUUCAUGAAGCCUUUCCUGACCAACAGUCGCCCCACUCUGCUAGACACCACACCCCUCUGCUGCGCCCCCUUAGCAAGGAUCCUGACUACAACCGAACAACUGACGCAGGAUCGCGACCCUCUUAAUGAUGACCUUCCAAUAGACGACUCUAUCAUCAGUGUCGGGGGAAUUCACACCUCCAUAGACUCUAGUCGGCAGGAACGAGACUCUGGGGAUAACCGUAGCCAACUCAGUAUUGACGCCCAGAAUUUCAUGUAACUAACAACCCCCUGUUCACCAACCAUCACCACAACCACUACUAACUACUACUACUACUACUACUACUACUCUACUACUACCACCUCCACCUCCACCUCCAUGGAACAGCUAACUCCUGAACAACCAGACUGAAUAUAACCAACCCAUUAUACGACGGCGACCUGGGCUUGGGCUCGUCCAGUAGCGUGCCCACCCGGGUGUCUGUGGCUGGUUCCCGGGGCCAAGACCUGUAGAGAUGGCGAGUGGCUGCGUCCAACGUCUUGUGUGUUAAUUGAAGAUGUGUUUGUAUAGUGAAAAGUGACAAGUGACAUGAGAUUGGAGGAAGUCAUGUUUGGCAAAGUGUCAUACUCUCCAUAAAUCCUUUUUUUUUUAUAUAUAUAAAUAUAUGUGUAUGUGGGCUUGAAAGUGUUUUAAGAGCCAGAUUAGCUUCUGUGUUUCAGAGGGUUUUAUUUAUUACACUUUACUUUUUCCCCGUCGUAACUAUUGGAAAAAUUUGAGACACCAUAUUGACUUAUGGAAUGGAUUUUUUUUUUUCUUUCUUUUUUUCUUUCUUUCCUUCUUUCGUUUUGUAUUAGAUUUUUGUUACCUUCUAACUGUCUCUGUAUUAGAAUUACAUUGUUGAGAUUUCAGCUUAGGAACUUGUAGUGACAGUACUUUCCAUACUGUGUACAUAUUAAACACGAACUCUGUGAAAGAUGUGGUUGCUUGUGUUUGUCUGGCGGAGGUUUGCAAGAGAGCGUGUAUACUACGUUUCAGUGUGCCAAUAACCAAAUGACAUAUGCCAGAUUGAGAUAAAGGGAGAAAGAAAGUAAUUUUGCCCUUUUUUUAUUUUGGUACUAUAUAUAUUUUUUUUAAUUAUUAUAAUUAUUAUUAUUAUUUUUUUUAUUAUUGUUAUUAUUAUUAUUAUUGUGAUUAUUAUUAAUGAAUCAGUCAGUAUUUAGUAAAUGAUCUACGUAAAUCUUUCAUUUUUGUUUUUGUAGAAGGUUUAUGGGAUUACACUCAGUCUGGGAAAGUUUUGUUUGUCUAUUAUAAGGAAGCUUUGUCUGUAAUACUUUUUAUGACAGAUUCUGUUCGUGUUAAAUACAGAAUUUUUGUUGAUGUUGUGUUAGGGCAUUUUGCUCUCUUUCUCUCAUUUUCUUCUCUUUCAUUUAUAUUCAGUAGCAAGGGAAAAGGCAGAAAAGGACGAUAAAAGAAAGUAUAAUAUCUAAUUUGUUACUGAUCACAAUUAAGAGGUUUAAAAGCUAUUGUGACUAUUGUGACAAUCUCGUUGGUCUGGAAUACAAAUGUUUGAUAAUAAUUCUUAGUACCUUAGGUUAUUAAUGUGAAAAUUGUUUCAAAUGUAGUUGAAAUGGUUAGUUUCAGUGGUUGAUAUUGGCCCACUACUGAUAAUUCACAAACCCUGUGAAAUAGUGGUAGAUUCUUUGAAUGUACUUUGUUGAUGUGGGAUAUGAAUAUGAUCAUUAUUUAUUGAUCUUCAUUGAUAAUGUUGUUGGAAGGAUGUUAUCAUUACAGCAAGCUGUAUUUUUUUUAGGUUUCAAGCUGGAUGUACAUUGCAUACAUAUAAGAUAAAUGUGAUAUGUUUGAAUGGUUUCUAGAAAGAUCAGACCUGAUUAUUCACUUCCAUAGGUUAACCAUGUAGUUUUUCAUGUUGGAAGAAACCAGUGAGACAACUCAGCUUGUGCUUGUCUUAUGCGAUGUUACUUGUAGGCUUUUGUGGGAAGCAUAAAUGAUGCUUUUCUUAACCAAGGGCAACGUGUUUUGAAGAACUUUAUAUAGGGUGAUGAGGGAGGGGAAUGUAGAGAGGGAAGGAGGGAGGGAGGGAGGGAGGGAGGGGAAUGGCAUUGUUUUACCUUAAUAUAAACAGCUUUGAUGGCUUAGAUCUGUCUAUGCAGUGUAAGAAAAUUGGUUUCUGUUUAGGGGUCCUUUAAGUUUGCUUCAAAGUAAAAAAUAAAUUUGUUAUAUAUAUUAUGAUGUUCACUCAGUGCACUUAAAUGUGUCUGUGCUUCGUGUGUCUCUCUCCAGUAAGAGUCAGUGUAGUGAGCACUUCAGUAUUCAUGCUUGUAAAUGCCCACUUGAGGAUGAGCAUCUGAGAAAGCAUGUGUUAAAACGCUCAUGCUUACCUAUAUUGCGCAUACUACUACCUUAGGAUGGUCCCUCUUAAGGUUUUCUAUUUUCAUAUUUACAGAACAGGUAUUAUAUUUUUACUUGAUCAAGCUCUGGACAUAGUAUACCUAUUGCUAAGACUACUACUGUGCAUUGUAUCGAUUCCUGUUCGUUUCAGGGGUUUACCCCGGAAUGAACAAAUGGGAUAGCCCAAGUGAAAGGGAUUUUCAUAGUUGUUGUACAUAGGAGAUUAGCUGUAAUAAAAAUGUUAAAAUUGAAAAAAAAAAAAAA
rnacentral:misc_RNA from 1 species